UUGAAAGUAGCCCAGUUUAAAACCCUCGCCCUAAUUAACAAGAAAGCUCGGGCUCGGCAAUCGGAGAAUUUGACGAGGUAAAUGUCUUUAAACCCUUGUCCAAAGUAUGCAAUUGCAUGGCUAUAUAUAGAUGGUAACAUUAUACAAAAUGGUUUUGAUGGCUAUUCUUAUGAUGGUCAAAUGGCUAGGCUUGUUAAGCUUGAUGUUACUCUGAAAUUUAAACAACUCUGUGAUGUUAUAUGUGCAAAACUCAAGAUUGAUACUAGAUUAUAUGGGCUGAAGAUAAGGCAUAAGUGUUUUAACCCCAUGACUAAAAUGUUUGAUUUUGCGCCGGUUCUUGAUGAUGAUGAUGUUGAGUUGAUGUUUGAGUUGGUGGCUUCUUUGGGUGUGAAGAAUGCUGUUGUUGAGCUUUAUUUGGAGAGGGUUUUGCUUGAUGGGUUUGUGGAGAAGAUAGUGGAUGUGCCAUUGGAUGUGAAUUGUUUGAGUGAGCAAGCGGGUUUUUUGUUUGAUAGUGAAUUGGGAGUUAGUCGGGGUUUUGGGAGAUGUGGGGAAAAUGUGGAUUUUUGUUGUGAUUUGGGAGGAGGUGGUGUAGUUGUGGAAGGUUGUGGGGAUUUCGGGAAGAGAGGGGAAGAUGGGGACGAUAGGGUAGGUUUGGGAGAAAGUGGUGAGAAUGGGGAUGUUGGUCGAGAUUUUGGAGUAAUAGGUGAAAAUAUGGAAGUUAAUCGUGAUUUGUGUUUAGGUGGUGAAGAAGUAGUGAGGGGUGGUUUAAAUAAGAAAACGCUUUGUAAGCGACGUGUGAAUAGUCAAGGAAGGAGGAGGGUUUCAAGAGGGAGAAAUAAGGGUGGGGAGAGUGGUACUCUUUAUAGCAGCUUUGACGGGUCUUCUAUGGUGGAAUCACUUAAGGCGCCUGUUUUUAGAACGAGCGGGGAUGUGUUACAUGUGACGGACUUGAAGAAGGGGAUGUUGUUUGUAUCUAGGGAAGAAUUGGCCGAUAUAGUUUUACAAGUUCACUAUAGCAACCAGCAGGAGGUGAAAGUGAUGAGGGCGGAUCCAUUGAAUUACUCUGUGAUAUGUAAGCAGAAAGCAACUGGGUGUAUGUGGAGCUUAAAGGCUAGAAAACGAAAGCAGCAUGGUUUUUUUGAGAUAAUGACGAUAUGUGGUUCACAUACUUGUGUCAGCCCCUCUUUCACACAAGGCCAUGCUGCAUAUUCAAAUGUAGAAGAAGUGCCUGAUGCCCAAGUUGCUGGCGAUGGCGAUCCUUCCUAUCAAGAAAAGGUUAAAAAAGAAAUUAGCGAAGUUUGAGUAUGUCAUAAAACAAAAUUUCUCUUGCAAAUCAGUUACUAUUUUUUAAAAUUUGCAUAAUUGCUUCUUUAGUUUGUUUCCGUUGCUAAAUUUUAUACUGAUGUCGGAUUUAGGACCGCAUCUUGAACAUGUUAUAUGUUGUUGAUAAUUAAUAUUGUCAAUCGUCCUUCAUUCUGUCCAAUCUUGACGGGAUAAAGACCUUUUAAAAGAGGCUCUUGGAAGAAAUUUACAGCUUUACAGACUGGCAAUUGAGCUUAAGUAUUGAAUUUUUUGUUUGAUUUUAGGUACAGAUCUUCCAACUAUGAUACUGUUAUUAAGUGC
rnacentral:lncRNA from 1 species